UUUAAAAACCGGAUUUUGAUGCGCCACACAUGACAGAUUUGUUUACUGAGGGUUUGUUUUAUAG
rnacentral:snoRNA from 1 species